GGCAGAGAGGAAGGUCCAACCCUCAACAUCCCAGUCCCACCUCUCAGCCCCCACAGUAUAUAUAUCUGGUGAGAGAUCUGCUCCCCCUCCGACUACGACCUCCCCAGUGAUUAGAGAAACACAACCUCCAGCAAUCUUAUCUCCUUCUGUCUCCAAAGGCACAGUGACCAAUCAGGGCAAAGAGAUGGAAUCCCUGUCCCUCGUCCUGCUUCUCCUCUCCCCAGCGUUCGCUAUGCCAAUGAGGCGGUUGGUGUCCUCCUCAGAGACGUCCUCUGAGUCUGAGUCCCAUGAGUCCUCCUCCUCCUCCUCCUCCUCCAUUGAGUCCUAUGACUCAGCUUCCUCCUCCUCAGAAGAAGAAGAGGAGCGUUCCACCCCUGGUACACUGGCCCCUCCCACUGUUGCCGUAACAACUAUCACAGCGGCGGACGUGGACACGACUGCAAUGGGACCAAUCACGGAGGGGAGCACGCCCACUGCGGCCACGCCCAUUAUGGUGACGGACGCGUUGACAGGCAGCGUUACCUUCACAGAGGUCAGAGGAGACGCCUAACAGACUGAGCUCCUGGGAACAUCCUGUUGACUUAAAGGUCUCAUGUUGUCCUGGUUCUAUCCCAGGGGAGGUCUGUCUUGUUGUUAGGACAUUGGUAGGACAUGACGUCUGUCAUUGUGUUAUAGUUCUACAUCAGCAUUUAUAUGUACACACCCAGGGGAAAAGUAUUAUAUUUCAACGAUACUUUUGAAAGAAUGUACACUUUUAGCAUGUAACUGUACUUUGUGCUUUUUUUGUCGCCUUCAUGGUACUCAAGAAGUCCUUCAGUACUACUUGACUAUUACUUUAGUAUCCUUUAAGUGUAAUUAGUAAGUAUGCUGUAUUGGAACAACUUUUUAGGAACUUUGUGUGCUGAACAGUGAAAAUUUCGAUUCUUGAGCAUUCUAAACACACUUGCAGGUGUUUUAUAUAAUAUAUUUAUAGUGUUUUAAUUGUAUUAUAUCACAAGUGUGUUGGAAAUAUACUGAAAAAGCCUUUAUACUUCAAUUGAUAGUAUUGUAGAGGUGUAUUUUGUAAACAUUUGGAAACUACUCUUUACUAUUAUUCUAGCAUGCCUGUAAUAUUUCAAAAUUAAUUAUAAUGCACUUUCUGAUUGCAUUUAGGAUUUUUAAAGUGUGCUGUUAUGUUAUACAAAUGUGUGUACAACAGUCAGUUCCGACCAAGUAAUUUCAUUGGACAAGAGGCAUUCCAUGAGUGCUGAUAUAGAGUAUAAAAGCACUGGGACUUAACUAAACAUGUAUCACUCCGCUUAACAGCUGUUUUAAAAACCGUUAAUGUUGUUAACAGACUUUAUGUAUCUUAGAUUGCUAGUAUGUUUAUGUGUUGCUUGUCAACAGUUCAGUCCCAGUCCAGUUGCGGAUCUAUUUGUGUUGGCGGAGCCAAAUAAAUCAUUAAAUAAACAAACAAA